UUUCCUGUGGCUCAGUUGGUAGAGCAUUGUGCUAUCAAUGCAGAGAUCGUGGGUUCAAUUCCUAGGGGAAAAA